rnacentral:rRNA from 1 species
AUUGAACGCUGGCGGCAUGCUUUACACAUGCAAGUCGAACGGUAACAGGUCUUCGGAUGCUGACGAGUGGCGAACGGGUGAGUAAUACAUCGGAACGUGCCUAGUAGUGGGGGAUAACUACUCGAAAGAGUAGCUAAUACCGCAUGAGAUCUACGGAUGAAAGCAGGGGAUCGCAAGACCUUGUGCUACUAGAGCGGCUGAUGGCAGAUUAGGUAGUUGGUGGGGUAAAGGCUCACCAAGCCAACGAUCUGUAGCUGGUCUGAGAGGACGACCAGCCACACUGGAACUGAGACACGGUCCAGACUCCUACGGGAGGCAGCAGUGGGGAAUUUUGGACAAUGGGCGAAAGCCUGAUCCAGCAAUGCCGCGUGCAGGAUGAAGGCCCUCGGGUUGUAAACUGCU